rnacentral:tRNA from 1 species
AAGGAUUUAAGUUAACCUUAAACUCUUAACCUUCAAAGUUAAAAAUAGAAGAGAAUCUAAGCCUUA